CAGUCGCCACGGUAAUACGUAGGUGGCAAGCGUUGUCCGGAAUUAUUGGGCGUAAAGGGCUCGCAGGCGGUUUCUUAAGUUUGAUGUGAAAGCCCCCGGCUCAACCGGGGAGGGUCAUUGGAAACUGGGAAACUUGAGUGCAGAAGAGGAGAGUGGAAUUCCACGUGUAGCGGUGAAAUGCGUAGAGAUGUGGAGGAACACCAGUGGCGAAGGCGACUCUCUGGUCUGUAACUGACGCUGAGGAGUGAAAGCGUGGGGAGCGAACAGGAUUAGAUACCCCUGUAGUCCCUGUCUCUUAUAA
rnacentral:rRNA from 1 species